CAGAGUGAAACAGGAGUGCUUUAUGGUCUGAGUGGAGUGUUUGGGAGGAGUGCCUCCCGGCUCCUGCCUUCGGGCUCACCUGAGCGGGGGCGCAGCUGAGGCCACUGUGGGAAACACAACCCCCACUCCCAGGAGAGGCCUCACAUGCUGCCUUCGGUCUCGCCAGCCUUCUAGCGUGGGGCCUGGGCCGCCCUUUAGGGUGAGUCUGCACACCCGUGUUCAGGGCUCCCGGCCGGAAGCGGAACCAUAGGCAUGCUGCGGCCCCAGAUGAGCGCGGAGGGCAAGCAGGUGCCGGGGCAGCGCACACCCCACAGCCAAGCGGCCCCUGCCCAGCCUCUGUAAACAGACCCUCACAGGUCCCUCCUGGGCCUCAGUCACAUCCCUGAGAAACACUGGCGGCUCUGCCCCGAGAGGGCCAGGGUGUCCACCGAGCCUGGCUGAAGCCAGCUGUCCCCUCCCUUCUUGCAGAGCAGGCUCACACUGGGCCUGAAGGCCCAGCACCUGCAGGGCCCAGCCUGGGGACCACCAAUGCCCGGCCUCUUCCAGCUCAGAAGCGCACACGGCAGCCACGGGGCAGCGGCAAAGGCGAUGGUACAGAGGCAAAUGCCUCCCCAGGCAGUGACAGGCACGCCCCCCGCCCCAGGGCGGCCACUGCCCACGCCGGCCUAGAGCUCCUCGUAGUCGCCACCCCCAGGGUGGCGGCCGCCCGGGGCCCCGCCCCCCAGGAAAGCCUCCAGCUCAUCGGCAGCCGUCCUCUCCCUGCUGCGCGGGGGCCGCUGCUGCCGCCGUCGCCGCUCCUCCUUGCCCUCCUCCUUGUCCUUGCUCUUCUUGUGUUUGCUCUUCUUCUUGGCAGCUUUUUCUUCUUCCUCUUUGCCUUUUUUCUUCUUCUUCUUCUUCUCCUUAGAGGGGGUUUUGCCCUCCUUACCUUCCUCACUGCUCUCCUUGGGUCCGGCCUCCUCCAGCCCCAGCCCGAAGAGGUCCGAGUCAUUCUUCAGUCUGAAGGCGGGGAGAGGGAGCUUGGGGGGUGGGGGCGGCUCGGCAGGGCCCUCAUCCUCGUCAGUCACAUCGGAGGGGUCAUCUCGCACGGGAAAGUCAUCCGCCCUGCGCUGUGUGUCUGAUCCCUCGCUCUCAAAGUCGGGGUCAUCCAUGACGAAGGACAGCAUUUGUGCAGCAAUGGGUCCCUCGGGGUCACUCUCCGACGAGGAGGCCUGCUCACCCUUCCCCGGCUCCAUCUCAGCAGGGGGCCUGGUGCUGCUGCGCUUCUCCGGACCUGUGCGAACAGAGACACCGCCUGGCCAGGGGGGUGCUGCGGUCCUCGUGGGAGCUGUCCCCCUCCGUGGCUUCGAAGCUGGUAUGGAGGACCACUUGGUCUCUGGCUCUGAGCACUGCUGGGGAGCUGGGGCAGGGCCUUUUGUGGGAGCUGCCACUUCUGCUUCCUCCUCACUCGAAAGAGUGAUGUCUUGACUGGGGACGGGGCCUGCAGGCAGCGGGGGACUCCCACGUGGCUGGUCUUCGAGGUCCACAUCGUCCUGGAACCCUGCCACCAUCGGGUUGCCGCCCAGGGCCUCCCCAUCACUGUCGCUGUCCUGCUGGGCAGCCUUGGCCCCCACCUUCUUCUCGUCCCUGGCGGGGGUUGUGUCUUCCAGGAAGCUGCGGUCCAGGCGGUCGUCAGGAACAAAGUCCUCCACACUCUGGACCGUUGCUGGGCCCUCUGCGGCCGGGACUGGCUCUGGAGGUGGAGGGGCUGCCUCGGUGGCAGGUGACGUCCCAAACAGCCUAGAGAUGAUGCUGCGCCGUGGGGCGGGGGCUGAGGGGCACGCAGGUGGGGGCAGGGCCUCUGAGGGUGGUACAGGGGGCACAGAGGAUGGUGGGGCGGCAUUGAGGGGCAGCUGUGGGGCGGGCUGGGGUGUGCCGGGGCUGGAGCUCCCCGUGGACACAGCGCCUGCAGGCACCACUGGUGACUGGGAGCCCGGGGAUGGGCUCUGCCCGUUGGCCGCCAGUGGGGACGCAUGGCCACGGCUGCGAGCCUCCAUCAUCUCCAGGAAGAUGCCGUAGUUCUGGUCCUCCGUCUCCUGCUGCACCGACAGCUCCUCCAGCGUGGCGUCCAUGUCCAGCUGGUUCGUCUCCAGCUGCCGCAACAGCGUCUCCCUCUGAAGCUGCAAAAAUGGGAUAUUGAAGAACUUAUGAAGGUACUUUAGGCCGAAGCUGUUCUUCAUGGAAGACUCAGCAUAGCGGAAGUAGGAGGAACCUGGAGGUCUGCUGUCCAGGUUGUCGAUGAAGUCACGCACGUCGUCCGGCAGGAUGACUCGGUGCUCGCCCAUGUCCCGGUAGUUUCCCAGCACGCACACUGGCACGUGGGUGGGCACUUUUGGAAGCUCCCGGAGAAUGUAAUUGAAGGUCCACUGCUUGGUAAUGUCGAACAUCAUGACCACCCCGUUGCAGUUCUUGUACACGUCCAGGAACUCAGCAUCCAGGGCCAUUUCAGACUCCGCCUCCUGGGGGUCGUUCUCCAUCUUUAAGCCGUCGCCUCGCUUUUUGCAUUUUCCUUUGUCUACUACAUCCCAGACUUCAACCUUCACGAUGUCAUCCGUGGUCUUGUAGCUCCAGUGGAUGCUGGUGACCUGGAUCUCCUGUGUGGGGAUGUACUCCUCCACGAACGGCCGGCCCUGCAGGCGGUGCCACAGCGCUGUCUUGCCCGUGUUCCUGUCUCCCCGGAUCACUAUCUUCAGGUGAGUGGUGCCCGGGGCUGGGCACCGUGGAGCGUCGGGGGCGCGGCGCCCCGGGCCGGCGGGCCCUGCUUGGCAUUAUGUAAUCACCCCCGGGCCGGGCAGCCGGGCCAACCCCGCCGCCGCCGACCCGCUCCACUGCACAGCGCGGCGGGAGCGACACGCGGCAGGCGAGUGCGGCUGGGAAACGACCCGCGGCUCGGGGGCCGCGAGGACCCGGCCCUGGCCUGGCCUCUCCUCGCGUCCCCUGGCCCGCGCCCCCGCUCCCGGAGCGCCCGGCGGGCCCAGCGCACCCCACAACCGGCAAGCAGGUGAGACCGACACCCACCACCGCGCGGCGCCCGGGGCCUGGGUUCGGAGACCCGCGCGGCGCUCCCGCGCCCCCCCGGCCCGCCGCACUCACUUCCUGCAGGUACAACUGAUGCACCCUGUAGCCCCGCUGUCCCUCCAGGAUGUCCCGGUGGGAUGGGAGCCGGCGCCACCCCGACCUGUGUUCCAGCCACCCGCCUGCAGCCCGGGCCCCAGUUCCGGGGCCUGUACCGAUCAUAUCCUCCUCCCGGUUCUCAAAGCUGAUCCUGGUGUUGUACUUCUCCAUCAGAGUCGAGGACUCCAGGGUGUCCCUCACCUUUGUGUCGCCCUGCAGGGCAAAGCCCCCUUCAGCCGUGCAGACACUCUGAACGGGAGCCUGUCAGCUUUGAGGGGACGUGGGCUGUGCAGGUUCCUCCCAGCCCGGGGCUACCUCCUCGGUCCUGGACACCAUCUGCACUCUGUCAGCCAGCAUGUCUGUCAUUUUCUUCUCAACGGACUUGAAGCUGCAGAAGGCAAUAGGGACACAGCAGUGAGGGGCACAGGCCCGAGAGCCAUGGUGGGCCACCCAGGAGCCCAGUCCUGAGUUGGGUGCUGUGCCAGAAUCAGGGACUCAGAAGCUCAGCUCCAGGUUCUCCUCCGUGUUCCUCUGGGCCAGGAAGCGGCUAGUGAUGUCCUGGCCAGUCCGGGGGAGAGAGAAGCAGAGUGCCUCAGACCCCAGCCCAGCUCAGCCACCCUCCUGCCAUGCUCCGGGAGUGCCAGGGAGCAUUACCCAGACGUGAGAGGCUCAGCCACCCUCCUGCCAUUCUCUGGGAGCGCCAGGGGCAUUACCCAGACGUGAGAGCACCGUACAGCACUCUUGACCUUCUCCACCACAGCAGUCACGCCCGACUGGUAUUCCAUUUCUGCUGUGGAGGUCUCUUUUCUCCUCACUGGCAGAGCAGAGGGGAGGGGCAGUCAGCAUGCAGGGAUGGCUCAGGGGCUCUGUGUAAGGCUGUCAGACACCUCUGUACCUGCCCAGCUGCUGGGGCGGCCACCCAAGACACAGGCAUCCUUCAGAGAUGCCUGCCCCCGCCCCAACCUGCUCCCUCCUCAGCCCAGCCCUGCAGGGACGCCCCAGGCAGCCCCAGAGCAGAGGUGGACCCGGAGUGAGUGGCGCAGCACUGUGAGCACUGUGGGCCCGGUGGUGCUUCUCAGAGGCAGCUUAGGGGUCAGGAUGCUCAUCCUCUGCAGAGUCACUGGGGACUGGGCCCUUGGUGCAGGGCCCUUGGGUGCUGGGGCCAGCAUCUCUGAGGCCACAUUUGGCUACAGGCUCUCAGCCUCUGGAGGGAGAGGCAGGGACCUGUCCUUCCCUUCACCCUGGCGACCACAUGUCACACCUGGCCUCAGGGUGACUUGAUCCGUUGGCCUGAAUCAGUGCCAGCCUCUCCUUGGGACCCUGGCUGGGGGCAGGUGGGGAGCUGAGCGCUUACAUUUCAGGGUCUCCGUGCUCAUCAGGUUCGAGGGGAAGUCCAAGUCCAUCUGGCCCUGAUGGGAGGUGGGGGCGGGGAAGGGAUGAGACAUCCUUGGCAGGGAGUGGGCCCUGAGUGGUGGCCCUGAGCCUGUGUCCACCCAGCUGUCAUGGGGAUGGGCAGCCAGCCAGGCCCUGGCCUGGGGCUUACCCGGCGGUACUUCUCGCUGGUCUCCUUCGUGUGGAUCUUGUCGAUCAGCUUCUUCUGCUGGUUGAGCCGGUUCUCCCUUGCCCGGCGCUCCUCGAUGAAGGACGCCUCCCUUUGCCUCAUGUUCCUCUGGGGACAUGCGGGUGGGCACAGGGUUGGGGAGCUGUCUCAACAAGGCCCCUAAUGGCAGUAAAGCCAGCGGGCGGUUGGCCAUGCUCACCUUACUAGACUUUGGAACUGCAUCCCCGGCCAAUGGCCACACCCUUUUCCUAAACCACUUGUGCCCGUGGCCCCUCAGCUCACGGCCCUCCUUGCCCAUGCCUCAGAGCAUGUGCCAGCCCAGACGCUCUGCUGCCCUCCAGCCGCUGGCCCCCAGCUGCCUCCUGGCCAGGUCCACCUAGAACUCACGGAAGUGCAUUCAGCCUGCCUGAAGACAGAUUCAUCCUCUUCCCCAAAACCUGGCCUCUUCCAGCGUGCCCUUGGGCAGCUAAAACCGUCAUCUGCUAACCCCUGCUCACGCACCCCAGACACUGCUCUCACCCUCGCCACUCUCGUUGCCAGCGCUUAGUGGGGUUGCCUCUUGAGGAGUUCUCAGCUCCGUUGCUCCUGGCCACCCCUUCUCCACCCCGGGUAUACCCAGGUGAUCAGCGCUUCUGCCCUGGCACCUUCCAGUCCCUGCAGCCUGAGUACACCCUUUCUGAAGCACAGACCUGGUCACAUCUUUCCUCCACCUCCUCCCAGGGCUCCAGGUCAGUCCUUGGGCCCCCAGCCCAGCCGCCUCCGUGGACUCCUGGGGCCUGUGCCUCUGCAGCCUCCACUGCCCUGGCCACACGCUGCUCCAUGUAUCACACCCCUCCCAGCCCAGGGCCUUUUCCCAAGUUGUACCUCCUCCUCCCUAGCCCUGGCCACACCUGACCUUUGCGGGUUCAAUCCCUCAGCCCAGCUCAAGCACUGUCUUCCUGGAAAGCCAUCUGCCACCCCACCUGUCUCUGCUGAGCUGGCUCAGGGGCUGUGUGGCAUUUCUUCAUGGACUACUGGAUGAGUGCCACCCACUUCAGGAGGACAGGGUCUGCCUGUCCCGGUCCCUGCUGUAUCCCCAGAGCCUUGCAGGGACCUUGGCACAGACUGGGUGAAUAGGUGACCCCCGCCCUGGCCCGGCCAGUUCUCUCCCUCUCCUCUACUUCAUGGCUCCUGUGCUGGAUGGGACCUGCUCUGUCCAGUGGGUGAGCAGAGCAGGCUGGCCGGGCUGGCCACUGGAUCCUUCUGGGGAUUGUAGGCAGUGUGGGCAUGGGGGUCUCCUGAGAGACCCUGGCCAGAAGACACAAGAGAGCCCGCCCUGGGGGGCCCCAGCCCUGGGCCCUGAGCUCACCUUGACCCCAUCCGAAGAUCCAAGAGGGCUGGCCCUGGGGGGCCCCCAGCCCUGGGCCCUGAGCUCACCUUGACCCCAUCCGAAGAUCCAAGAGGGCUGGCCCUGGGGGGCCCCAGCCCUGGGCCCUGAGCUCACCUUGACCCCAUCCGAAGAUCCAAGAGGGCUGGCCCUGGGGGGCCCCCGGCCCUGGGCCCUGAGCUCACCUUGACCCCAUCCGAAGAUCCAAGAGGGCUGGCCCUGGGGGGCCCCCAGCCCUGGGCCCUGAGCUCACCUUGACCCCAUCCGAAGAUCCAAGAGGGCUGGCCCUGGGGGGCCCCCGGCCCUGGGCCCUGAGCUCACCUUGACCCCAUCCGAAGAUCCAAGAGGGCUGGCCCUGGGGGGCCCCCAGCCCUGGGCCCUGAGCUCACCUUGACCCCAUCCGAAGAUCCAAGAGGGCUGGCCCUGGGGGGCCCCCAGCCCUGGGCCCUGAGCUCACCUUGACCUCAUCCGUGAUCAUCAUGGCAUCUUGGGACAUGAUCUUCAUAUCCGACAGCUCUGAGCAGUAGUUGACCACGAGGUUCUGCAGCUUGUCCAGCUCAAUGGGGUAUCCUGCCAGCACCUGUGUUGAAUGGGGUUCUCUUGUGGCCCCUACAGAGUGGGCUGCAGUUGCCCCGAGCUUUUAUCCCCCGACUAAGAGCCCUGAGAACAGUGAUAGGUUCUCCUCUGUGGCCCCAGCCACCUCCCCCACUCCCCGCUGGGCACAACGGUGAUGAAAGGUGUUUCACAGGGAGUGGACAGUGCUGGCCUGGUGGACUCUUUCACCACCUAGGGUCCAACAACCCAGAGAGACUGAGAGAGUUUGUGAUGAAAUGCUCUGCAGAAAAGGCUGACUGAAACCCGGGGAGGUUUGGGGACAGUUCUGCUUUGAAGUGAAACAGAGGGGCUCAAGACAUGGGCUUGGGGUCAGAGAGUCAGGAUUCAAGGCCAAGGCAGCUUCUGACCAGCUAGUUUAGCUGUGUGACAUUGGGAAAGUUACUUAAUCUCUCUGUGUCCCCAUUUGUAAGAUGAUGGCUCGUUCAGAAGGUUGCCAUCAGGAUGAAUUGAGUGUAAAAGGAAUUAUUUAGCCCAGAACCAGGUACAUACGUGCUCAGGAUAGCUUUGCUAUAGUGGUUUGUUUUUUGUAACUACAAGUAUAGGCCAGGUGCGGUGGCUCACGCCUGUAAUCCCAACACUGGGAGGCCGGAGGCAGGCAGAUCAUGAGGUCAGGAGUUAGAGACCAGCCUGGCCAACAUAGUGAAACCCUGUCUCUACUAAAAAUACAAAAAAAAUCAGCCGGGCGUGGUAGUGGGCGCCUGUAAUUCUAGCUAUUCGGGAGGCUGAGGCAGGAGAAUCGCUUGAACCCGGGAGGCGGAGGUUGCAGUGAGCCGAGAUCUCACCACUGCACACCAGCUGGGGCAACAGUGUGAAACUCCAUCUCAAAAAACAAAACAAACAAAAACAAAACUAGAAGUGUAGAAUCUUCAUUUUUAAAAAUAUGGAUGACUAUGGGA
rnacentral:lncRNA from 1 species